rnacentral:tRNA from 1 species
AAAUAAGAAGUAAAUUUCAUUACAUAUUAAUUUCGACUUAAUAAUAGAUUAUUAAAUCCUUAUUUU